CCGCGCAUAGCAACGGAUUUUUUUACAUAUUUUCCGCGGUGCGAUUAUCUCAGAAUAAAACUGUCAGAUUUUUGUUUAAAAGUUGACAGCAUUUGUUUCCUACGGGCGUUGUGUGGUCGGUUCGCAAUCAGCAUCGCGCGCGAGAAAUGAGAGGUUGGCAAAAGUGUCGUGGAUGGAAAAUGCGCUGAGAAGACAGAGAAAAGACUAGGGGAAUCCCUAGUUCUCUCUUUCCGUGCACCAUGGCGAACUUGGAGGACGCCGAUUACGAGCUGAUGGAUUUUGAGGAUGAAUUGCUACCUUUGGCCCAAAACCGCGCCGCUGAGCUUUGGCCGCCACUGACAGCAGCAGCAGCAGCAAAAAAAAGACCGCCACCACAACUGCCACCAGGACGGAGACCAGCAGCAGCACCACAGCAGCAACGCGGUCUAUCAGGGGGAACGGAAAUUGUUUAAUUUUAGUCUAGAGAGAGUUAGAUCAGGUAACAGAUGGACAUUUACUAAAAGAAGUGUAAAAUCUCUUGGCUAUUUUGCAAAAAUGCUUGAAAUCCCCCCAAAAACAAAAACAAAAAAUGUUUUUGUAAAAAAAUGCGCCAAGCAUAUAUUUCGAUGUUGUUCAUUUGAAAAAAUAAAUUGAAAAAAAAACUUAAAA